rnacentral:rRNA from 1 species
UACAGAGGUCCCAAGCGUUGUUCGGAUUCACUGGGCGUAAAGGGUGCGUAGGUGGUGAGGUAAGUCGGAUGUGAAAGCUCGGAGCUCAACUCCGAAAUGGCAUUGGAAACUACCUUGCUCGAGGGUUGGAGGGGGGACUGGAAUGCUUGGUGUAGCAGUGAAAUGCGUAGAUAUCAAGCGGAACACCAGUGGCGAAGGCGAGUCCCUGGACAACUCCUGACACUGAGGCACGAAAGCUAGGGGAGCGAACGGG